ensembl:lncRNA
GGUCUCCCUGACUGUCCUCAGAUUUUCCCCACAUUGGAAAACAGGCUUGGAGCUGGAGGUAGUGCCUGGCUUCAGUCUGGAAAGGUGCUGAUGGGAGGAGGGGGGACGGAGUUCAUUUUUCCUGAACUUGAAUCCUGCUUUCUCCACCUAGAGCAGCCACAAGUUACAGCAGACCAUCUCUUAUCCCUGCCCUCCUCUUCCUUCAGCAUCCUGAUGAAGAGUACCGGGUCUGGGACAGACGGCCAAAUUUGGCUCUGGAGCAGGUUGCUUGGCCUCUCUAACUGGGAGCCUCUUCAACUGUGCGCUGGAAAUAGCAGGUGUACCCACCGCAGGAGAGCUGGCAUGGAGAAGGAAAUCCUUUAUCUGUGUUCUGGGCCGUCGUGACAUUUGGAUGAGGUCGAGCAAGGAAGGAGGCUGUCUUUGGGGCAGACAAAGUGCACAGCCCCACUUUGACACACCCUUGGAAGCCAUCUCCUGCCUGCUGUUCUGGGCUCUCAUUGCAUCCGUGGCCCUUUCUCCCCAACCUGGAGACAGCUGGAUGCGAGCUCCUGCCCGGCCCACCACAACCCCUGGC